GGGGGUGAUGUGGGCUCGACAGAAAGGUAAAACAACUUUCUGUGCAGGCAGUGGUUAGCCGAAGGGCCACUAUAAAAAUCGGCUAAAACAUAAGUGCAAACACUUAUGCAUAUGCUGCAUAAUGCAGCUAUAUCCUGAUGAGAUGCCUGUAUCAUCAGGAUGAAGGGCUACAGGCUUUUCCUGUAAAGUUUGCCCUUGGACUUUACAGGAGAAACAGUACAAGGGAUAGGUGUUAGAGGCAGAGGUAAGGCCUACUAACACUGAACCUCCCACGGAAGGUGGGAGUAAAAACUUACCUCCGCGUGUCUCACCGCGUUAAAGUGAGACUAAGCCUGUAGAACAGAAGUUGUUUCCUUUCUGGACGCGGGUUCGAUUCCCGCCACCUCCAUUG
rnacentral:tmRNA from 1 species